rnacentral:rRNA from 1 species
CAAACUUAAUGCGUAACAAGUCGCAUUUAACCCUGGAAGGAUUACAAGAAAUCAAGAAAAUAAAAGAGGGAAUGAAUAAAAGUAGAAAAAUUUAAUUGUAUGAAAAAUAAGGCCGCCAUGGAAGCUAGGUGAUCUUACCAUGUCCAGAUUUAAAGGUGUAUAACUGAGGGAUCGAACGGGUGAAUGUUGCAGAAUUCUCCGAUGAGAUGUGGUAAGGUGUGAAAUGCUAAUCGUACCUAGUGAUAGCUGGUUUUUUGCGAAACUUCUUACAGGGGGGCGUCUACACAAAAUUAAUGGAGGUACAGCACUAAGAAUUCCAAGCCGCUAAAUGCGUAAGUCUUUGGUUGAGGGGCCGUGGAAAGCCUACCGUUGGGAGUUAAACUCGAAAUUACAUUAAUUUAUGGUAGAUAGUCAGACUGCUAUUCCUAAGUAGGGUAGUCAAAACGAAAACAGUCGAGAACACUAAAUAAGGUCCCAAAUUGGUUAAUAAGUGAAAAUAAGGAAGUAGCUAAUCGUAAUCGGCUGUAAAGUUAGCCUGGUAGUCGCUACUUUUAAUGAACGUAUAGUAACAACGCAGCAGCUUUAAGAGUGAGGCGCCUAAAAUUUAACGGGUCUUUGGUUUUUUAAUUUAGUUAAUAAAAUAAAAACAAAGUAAUCAACCGAUUUAGUGUUAAUUAUAAUUUUAGAAAACUGGUACUUUAAUUAAUUUUUCUUUCUACCCCAGCCUUAGAGAAAAAAAAAUAUACCCAGGGCCUUGGGUGUUUAUAAAAAAAAAUAAAACAAAGUUUAAAGUACCCUAUUUAUUUCUAUUUUAUAAUUAGGUAGCAAAACAUUCAGACACGAAUGAAGUAUAGUGUUUCAUUAUAUGGACGUAAUUGAAGAGAUAAUGCUGGCAUGAGUAACGAAAAGUAGUUUUUAAUACUACUCGCCGAAUACGAAAGGGUUGAUAGACAAGGUUGUACCGCCUAUCGUAAUAACGGUCUCUAAGGUCCAGAACAAAUGUUUUGGCUGAUGAGGUUUGAAUAAAAAGUCCAAAAGCAUUCUAAAUGUCUAACUCGCUAUGCGCGAAAUUUAGUACCAAUUUGAAAUGCUAUACUAUCGAUUAGUUAAAAAUAUUUGGACCAGGAAAAAAUAUUCAUUACAACCGUACCUUAAACCGACACUGGUUCGUGGGUAGAGAAUACUAAGGCGAAGAGUGAAUACUUGUUAAGGAACUCGGCAAGUUGUCCUUGUAAGUUUAACCAGAAGAGGAGCCAUAUCGUUUAAUUUCUUAUAGGUUACAAAAAAUCGGAGGCCCCGACUGUUUACUAAAAACACAUCUCUAUGCGAAGAAUUAAUUAUCUGUAUAUGGAGAGAGGUUUGCCAAAUGCCAUUUAGUAUAAGUGAGGUGAUGAAAAGAAUUUUACUAAACGAAUGCCUGGUCAAUGGCGGUCUUAACCAUGAGGAUCCAAAGGUAGCAUAAUAAUUUGGCCUUUAAAUGAGGUCUUGUAUCAAUAAUCGUACGAUGGUCUCACUGUCUCAACAAGUAACUCAGUGAAAUUG